rnacentral:tRNA from 1 species
GCGCCCGUAGCUCAACGGAUAGAGCAUCUGACUACGGAUCAGAAGGUUGGGGGUUCGAGUCCCUUCGGGCGCGCAA